CCUACGGGGUGCAGCAGUGAGGAAUAUUGGUCAAUGGACGCAAGUCUGAACCAGCCAUGCCGCGUGCAGGAAGACGGCUCUAUGAGUUGUAAACUGCUUUUGUACGAGGGUAAACGCAGAUACGCGUAUCUGUCUGCAAGUAUCGUACGACUAAGGAUCGGCUAACUCCGUGCCAGCAGCCGCGGUAAUACGGAGGAUUCAAGCGUUAUCCGGAUUUAUUGGGUUUAAAGGGUGCGUAGGCGGUCGGAUAAGUUAGAGGUGAAAUCCCGAGGCUCAACUUCGGAAUUGCCUCUGAUACUGUUCGGCUAGAGAGUAGUUGCGGUAGGCGGAAUGUAUGGUGUAGCGGUGAAAUGCUUAGAGAUCAUACAGAACACCGAUUGCGAAGGCAGCUUACCAAGCUACUUCUGACGUUGAGGCACGAAAGCGUGGGGAGCAAACAGGAUUAGAUACCCUUGUAGUC
rnacentral:rRNA from 1 species